CCUUGACAACACCAACACAGAGACUCUUAGAGAAAAGGAAGACAAUCCAAAAUGAAAGCUAUGCCGGGUUUUACGCUUAAAAGUCUAAAGGCACACUAUGCGUUGGUGCCAUUAUUUGGUGUUACUGUCAUGGGAUUUAGCGGUGCCAUGUAUUAUCUAGGCCGCUUAGCUACAAGAUGCCCAGAAGUUGGCUGGUCGAAUCCAACCAUUAAAACCCCUAAAGAACACUGGCAGCGGUACAAGCCUACAGAUCAGUACAAGUUUUAUUCACCAAUAAGAGAUUACUCCAAGGAAAGAUUUCCACCCGAGAGACCCAAGCUUGAUUAAAU